AAAAAAGCAAGGUCGUGAGAACUGUAGGUGUCUCUACAGCCAUUUGCCAAGGCUAUAUAUAUGGGCUUCUUUGGCUUGGACGAAUCUCCCUAUGAUAGAGUUGUUACACAGUGCAGAGCCAUGAAUUACUUUCUAAAGUGCUAAAGGAGAAAGAGAAUGGAAGAGAAAGGAAUGAUAAUGACAGAUUAAUUUCCUAUCGAAGAAGACAGAUUAUAAAGGGUAGUUUCUUGGACCUUUGCAACUGCACCGCUUUGUAAGAGUAUGAAUGUAAACUGAUAUGAGGAAAUGCAAACUAUUAAAGAAAGUUCUGCUCUUUG